UUCGCGAUAUCGUAGCACUUUUGUUUAUUUGUGGUAAUUAUUGUUCAAUUAUGCACUAACUAGGCUCAAAAAUACGUCUCGUAAAUUUCGACCAAACUAAUUAAUUUUUAUUUUCGUUUAUAUUUAAUACUACAUGCAUACGUCUAAAGAUUCGAUGUGACGAGAAAUCUUGAAAAGUUUUUAUUAGAUUUUGGGGAAGUAAACAAGGCCUAAGAGAGUAUGUGUGUGCACGUCCUUAUCAUAGCAACGUACGACAGCGAACGCCCUACCCUACGCACGAACGUGUACCGUGUAAGUACGUACUACACUUAUUGGGCUGGGGCGUAUAAUCGCGCUGACGUGGACGCAUACACCUACCGCAAGUACACGGUAACUGUGCACGUUGGGCGAUGUUGAAUCCAACUCGCCGAAGCGCAUGACCAAUAUUUCAGUAUUUUUCAAUAAAAAUACCAAAAAAAAUACUUCGUCCACCCAAAAAAGACUAUAAUCUUAUUUCCUGAGGAGUUAAAUAUUAUUAAUUUUGACUAAAUAUAUGCAAAAGUAUUAAUGUUUAUUAUAUAUAAUCACUAGUGUAGAAAACUUUACCAAGGCAGGCAGAAAUGAUUAACUAAGGUGGACAUCACGACCACCUCGGUCAAAAGAUCGCGGUAAAUGGGAUUUUUUACGAGAUGAUUCGAUGUUCCCCUCGGUAAAUCGAAUAAAAAAGCAAAAAAAAGAAAACACGUGGAAAAGCAGCGAGCCAAAUCCACGGGCCCACCGAACCCAACCACGUGCCGUCACACUGCUCCCAAGAUCUGCACUGCCACCGAUUCCCGCCGCCGCUCCGCUCGCCGGAUCUGCGCCGCUAUAUCGAGGCACCUCCUCAUCAGAUCGGUCUUCUCCUCGUCGGAUCCGGUGGUGGCCGCUUGGUUCUGGGCUCGUCCUUGCUAGAUCGAGCUCAUCCUCAU
rnacentral:lncRNA from 1 species